rnacentral:lncRNA from 1 species
AGCGGGUUGUGGAAGCUUGCAAUGAAGGAUUUUCCCAUCAGGCAUGGUAAAACGGUAAAUUUUACCAGAGUGAAGGAUCUUGGUGUUUAGGAAGAACUGGGCAUCAAAUCUGUCAAUCGUAUCCACACAAAGAGUAUCCGAAAGAUCUAUAUCAUGGUGUUUGAAGAUCCGAGUAAGUAGACUGUCAAUAGACUCAUCCAAAGGCUUCUUGUCAAGAGGA